rnacentral:tRNA from 1 species
UUAAAUUUAGUUAAAAAAUAACAUUAAUAUGUCAAAUUAAAAUUAUUUUAUGAAAAUAAUUUAUG